GAUGAACGCUGGCGGCGUGCCUAAUACAUGCAAGUCGAGCGAACAGAUAAGGAGCUUGCUCCUUUGAUGUUAGCGGCGGACGGGUGAGUAACACGUGGGUAACCUACCUAUAAGACUGGAAUAACUCCGGGAAACCGGGGCUAAUGCCGGAUAACAUUUAGAACCGCAUGGUUCUAAAGUGAAAGAUGGUUUUGCUAUCACUUAUAGAUGGACCCGCGCCGUAUUAGCUAGUUGGUAAGGUAAUGACUUACCAAGGCAACGAUACGUAGCCGACCUGAGAGGGUGAUCGGCCACACUGGAACUGAGACACGGUCCAGACUCCUACGGGAGGCAGCAGUAGGGAAUCUUCCGCAAUGGGCGAAAGCCUGACGGAGCAACGCCGCGUGAGUGAUGAAGGGUUUCGGCUCGUAAAACUCUGUUAUUAGGGAAGAACAAACGUGUAAGUAACUGUGCACGUCUUGACGGUACCUAAUCAGAAAGCCACGGCUAACUACGUGCCAGCAGCCGCAGUAA
rnacentral:rRNA from 1 species